ACAUUGGGUUUGUAGACAACUGGGACCUCUUCUGGGAAAAGCUGCAUUUCUUCAAGCAGGAUGGUCUGCAUCCAAAUAGAUUUUGCGCUCGGGUCCUCUCCGAAAACCACACAUAAUGUCGGUCUGCUGUUUCCCUUGAACCUUCGACCACAGUUUUCUGGUGCCCAACGUGGGGCAGAGACGGACAGGUGACUCCUCAAGCGGGAUUGUCCAGAGGACCUGUAAGAGGACCAAUUCCGGCUGGAUCCGUAAAGCUCCAGAAAAAGUUAGGACUGGCCUGCCUUGUGCGAAUCCUGUGUGUGAUGUCUCUGGACCUCCUCCGAUUUUAUAUACGAAGGUCGAGUGAAACUGGGAGUUUCCCUAGCAGGAUGAGAAAAAUUUUUGUCUUACAGGUGUCCGAGCGUCCCUGAAGAAAGUCCAUGAGCAGGUUAAUCAGGCCUGGAGAACCAGUCUUCAAUCAAAGGACUCCCCGAUUCCCCUGGGAACCUGGAUCCUGGUUAGAGAUACUCGAACGAAGCACUGGCAUCAGCCUCGCUGGAGGACUCCAUUUCAAGUGCUACUAUCUACACCACAUGCAGUCGAAGGACUGCCUGCCUGGAUUCACGCUUCACAUUGCAAAAAAUGGGAAACAUAAUUUUGCUCCUUCUAACAUUUGCUAUUCCCCUGAUUGCAGGACAAAGGCAAACAGGUGGCGAUCGUCUAGUUUACCAACUUGAGAAAAUGCCUAAGAACUAAUACCACGCUUGCUUUCCAAGUGGGAACAACUGCCUCAUUUCAGAUUGACUUUUGCGAAAUGGUUCGGAUCAUGGGCUGGGUGGCUUAAGUCAUCUACAAAGGCUUAUUGACACUUCUGUUACGAAGUCCUAUUUUCUCUACUCCCAACAGUCUCAAGGGACCCCCACAGCCUCUCUGCUUUGCGAGUAUGAUGAGGCUGACCUCACUGAUUCUGUAUGUUUAUAAUGUGAACAUUUAAUGUUCAAAGGGGGGAAUUGAGAAAAAAAAAUCGUUAUUAAGCUAUAAUAUUGUAUGUAUUAAUGUACUAAUAAUCAAUAAGCCAUUGUUUAAACUGCCUCUGCUAAAUACAUGUAAGCUAAAAAAGUAACUUGCAACAUAUAUUUUUUAGAAAACUACUGACUUUUAGUCUGUUCUAAAGAAAGAAGACUGUUAAUCUGUUAGGAAAAGUCUGCAUGUUUUGUCUUAUCAGCAGCAAACAGGUAGUUCCAUUUCUGCUUUACUUAUUUUUUGAACAAAAUGUUGUAACCUUUGGGCAUAGUACUGAACCCCCCACCCCCAAAUAUGUUGUAAUAUCUCAUGCUAAAGCUGUCACUGUAAAAUGUAAGCAAGUCUGUUAUAAAAAGGGAACUCGCCCCCCCGCAAGAUUGGGCUUUUGCUGGUUACUGUCAGUGAUAUUGGCUGGCAGGGGCUGCAAGGGUGUCUCUGCUAACCAAUUAAUUAAUAAAGAAACUGUUAUUUUUGUUCUGA